rnacentral:rRNA from 1 species
AUACGAAGGGUGCAAGCGUUACUCGGAAUUACUGGGCGUAAAGCGUGCGUAGGUGGUUGUUUAAGUCUGUCGUGAAAGCCCUGGGCUCAACCUGGGAAUGGCGAUGGAAACUGGGCGACUAGAGUGUGGCAGAGGGUAGUGGAAUUCCUGGUGUAGCAGUGAAAUGCGUAGAGAUCAGGAGGAACAACCGUGGCGAAGGCGACUGCCUGGGCCAACACUGACACUGAGGCACGAAAGCGUGGGGAGCAAACAGGAUUAGAUACCCUGGUAGUCCACGCCCUAAACGAUGCGAACUGGAUGUUGGGUGCAAUUUGGCACGCAGUAUCGAAGCUAACGCGUUAAGUUCGCCGCCUGGGGAGUACGGUCGCAAGACUGAAACUCAAAUGAAUUGGCGGGG